rnacentral:rRNA from 1 species
GACGAACGCUGGCGGCGUGCCUAACACAUGCAAGUCGAACGGUAAGGCCCUUCGGGGUACACGAGUGGCGAACGGGUGAGUAACACGUGGGUGAUCUGCCCUGCACUUCGGGAUAAGCCUGGGAAACUGGGUCUAAUACCGGAUAGGACCACUGCCUGCAUGGGUGGUGGUGGAGAGCUUUUGUGGUGUGGGAUGGGCCCGCGGCCUAUCAGCUUGUUGGUGGGGUGAUGGCCUACCAAGGCGACGACGGGUAGCCGGCCUGAGAGGGUGACCGACCACACUGGGACUGAGAUACGGCCCAGACUCCUACGGGAGGCAGCAGUGGGGAAUAUUGCACAAUGGGCGCAAGCCUGAUGCAGCGACGCCGCGUGAGGGAUGACGGCCUUCGGGUUGUAAACCUCUUUCAGCACCGACGAAGCGCAAGUGACGGUAGGUGCAGAAGAAGGACCGGCCAACUACGUGCCAGCAGCCGCCGUAA